AUGGGGGAAACCCUGACGCAGCGACGCCGUGUGAGGGAAGAAGGCCUUCGGGUCGUAAACCUCUGUCGGGAGGGAAGAACCGCCGGGUUCCGAACAGGGACUCGGCCUGACGGUACCUCCGAAGGAAGCGCCGGCUAACUCCGUGCCAGCAGCCGCGGUAAUA
rnacentral:rRNA from 1 species